ensembl:lncRNA
CUCCAGAGGAAUAUUUUGGCCUCAAAUCCUCGUGUCACCCGUUUUCAUAUCAACUGGGAGGGCUUGGCAGACAAGAUGGAAGACAGUGAGAAUGUUGACCCGUCCCCCAACAUCAGUGGCAUGCUCCCUCCAUCCUGUAUACCAGGAAAGAUGCCACAUCUAGGAGUGAUGCCAGAUAACUCCAUGGACUGCAUGUAAGAGGCAUCAGAUUAAUGCAAUGGAUAAGGAGCCCUUCUUAUCUAUACACACCCACAUUGCAAACACACAUUUAUACAAGGAGGCCAUGGAUGUUUCUGUAUAACAUGUGGACUUUAACAGAAAGCACAGGACACCACAGCAUAGACAUUAUCUUUUUAUGAAGCACUCAAAAAUGGGAUUGGUCUGGCAUGGUUACCACCUCUGGUUCCUCCUCUUUACGCACUUCCUUUCAACACACACACACACACACACACACACACACACACACACACACACACAGGUGUGCACAGUCAGAUUUGCCUUAAUUUAUUGUAUUUCUGUAUAAGAUUAUAUUUUAUGCCUGGCUGAAAGAAGUGCAGAUCAUCAGUGCUGGGCCAGGUCACUUCAACAGACCUGAAACGUGUGGGAAAAACUCGAGAUUCUGAUACCCAUGCUGUUCAUUUUGUCCUUUUCUGCACAGAUCAACUAGUGCUAUGCGAUGGGAAGGAUAUAGCACCUAGCUGCUUGUAGUAGAGCACUUCAUUCUUUGUAAGAUUUGUCUCUUGUGACACCUACUGGGGGGAGGGAAUUGGGUUUGAAUUAUGGGCCAUGUUUAUGAUAUUGUGGCAUCAAGUGGCUUUAUUCGCAUUAACAUGUUUUGCCCCAGGGUUAUCUAGAUUACUCGGUAAACCUGCUUCUGUGAAUAGGCAACAGUUCACCUACUGUUACAUAAAACGCCUAUAUGAGCAAAACAUGUAGGUAAUGAUGGAUGCCAAAUUGCUGUGUGUGUGUGUGUGUGUGUGUGUGUGUGUGUGUGUGUGGAUGAUUUAGGCUUACUGUAAAUAAUGUUUUCCUUGUUCUUAUUUUGUCUUCAAAACAAGAAGGCAGGUUUUCAUUUUGUACUUACUAUAUAGUCUCAGCUUCAGUAUUUGUAACAACAGUGAUGGGGU